rnacentral:rRNA from 1 species
ACCCGAAACCCGGUGAUCUAGCCAUGGCCAGGUUGAAGGUUGAGUAACAUCAACUGGAGGACCGAACCGACUAACUUUGAAAAGUUAGCGGAUGACUUGUGGCUGGGGGUGAAAGGCCAAUCAAACCGGGAGAUAGCUGGUUCUCCUCGAAAGCUAUUUAGGUAGCGCCUCGGACGAACACCAUUGGGGGUAGAGCACUGUUUCGGCUAGGGGGUCAUCCCGACUUACCAACCCAUUGCAAACUCCGAAUACCGAUGAGUGCGAGCUUGGGAGACAGACGUCGGGUGCUAACGUCCGGCGUCAAGAGGGAAACAACCCAGACCGCCAGCUAAGGUCCCAAAGAUUGGCUAAGUGGAAAACGAAGUGGGAAGGCACAGACAGCCAGGAGGUUGGCUUAGAAGCAGCCACCCUUUAAAGA